AUAGCGUAUAGUACUGUGAAGGAAAGGUGAAAAGGACCCCGGGAGGGGAGUGAAAUAGAACCUGAAACCCUGAGCUUACAAGCACCGAGAGCACGUCAAAGUGUGAUCGGGUACUUUUUGUAGAACGGUCCGGCGAGCGUAUGUACGUAGCAAGGUUAAGGACUUAAGGUCCGGAGCCGAAGCGAGAGCAAGUCUGAAUAGGGCGUCAAGUUACGUGCAUAGGGCCCGAAACCGGGUGACCUAUCCAUGUCCAGGCUGAAGUUGGGGUAAGACCCAAUGGAGGGCCGAACCGACCUCCGUUGAAAAGGCGGCGGAUGAGGUGUGGAUAGCGGAGAAAUUCCAAUCGAACUCGGAUAUAGCUGGUUCUCCCCGAAAUAGCUUUAGGGCUAGCGUUGUGUAUCAUUACCGGAGGUAAAGCACUGAAUGGCCUAGGGCCCUAACGGGUACCGAAGCCUAUCAAACUAAGAAUGCCGGCUAAUGCGAGCACAGCAGUCAGACUAUGGGAGAUAAGUUUCAUAGUCAAAAGGGAAACAGCCCAGACCCACAGCUAAGGUCCCAAAUAUGAUUUAAGUGGAAAACGAUGUGGGGUUGCGAAAACAACCAGGAUGUUGGCUUAGAAGCAGCCACUCAUUUAAAGAGUGCGUAAUAGCUCACUGGUCGAGUGACCCUGCGCGGAAAAUUCAACGGGGCUAAAAUCAUAACCGAAGCUUGGGAUAUACUAAUGUAUAUGGUAGGGGAGCGUUGUGUAAGGGGUGAAGUCAUAGCGGAAGCGGUGGUGGACUUUACACAAGUGAGAAUGCCGGAAUGAGUAGCGCGAAUUAUGUGAGAAUCAUAAUGGCCGAAAGUCUAAGGUUUUUGGAGGAAGGUUCGUCCGCUCCAAGUUAGUCGGGAGCUAAGGUCAGGCCGAAAGGCGUAGCCGAUGCACAUACGGUAGACAUUCCGUAACCGUCGAAGUAUUUAAGCAAAGGGACACUUUGAGAAGGUACAAGCCAGGCGUUGGUAGCCCUGGUCGUAAGGGACUGAAGUUUAGUAAGGAAGUGUACUGGAACAGAGGCGAGAAAAGCUUUGUGUAUAUACAAGAUGCCCGUACCGCAAACCGACACAGGUAGAUGGGAAGAGAAUUCUAAGGCCAACGGGAGAAGGGUUGUUAAGGAACUCGGCAAGUUGACCCCGUAACUUCGGAAUAAGGGGUGCUCACGAGAGUGAGCCGCAGAGAAUAGGCCCAGGCAACUGUUUACCAAAAACACAGGUUUGUGCUAAAUCGAAAGAUGACGUAUACGAGCUGACGCCUGCCCGGUGCUGGAAGGUUAAAAGGAGAUGUGCAAGCAUUGAAUUGAAGCCCCAGUGAACGGCGGCCGUAACUAUAACGGUCCUAAGGUAGCGAAAUUCCUUGUCAGGUAAGUUCUGACCCGCACGAAUGGUCGCGGCCUUCGCCGCCGACGCGCAGUUUGCCCUCAAGCACCUGAAUGGUCACCGGCAUGGCGGCCGUAUGCUCGCUCAGCGCCUGAUCCUUGUCGAAACCGAACAGCACGACACGCAGGCCGUCCUCACGCAUCACCACGCGCGAGACGGUGGAUUCCGGCUGGAUCUCGAUCAGCGAUGCAAGAUCGGCCACAUAGCCCAGGUGUGGUUCCGUGGAAAUGGCGUGGCCUUCGGCAUCGUGCUUGCACGCGCAGUGCUUGGGCUGCUCAUCACCGGCUUCCUCAGCAUCACCGUGCUUGCACUUGCAAUGGUGCGCUUCGCCUUCGCCGGCUUCCGCGGCGCCGUCGUGCUUGCACGUGCAAUGGUGGGCGGCCGGCUGCUGAGCGGCCGAAGCGUUCUCUGCGGCUGCCUCGGCCGCGGCCCUGCGCUGACGGCACUUGCAGUGCUGCUCGUCACGUCCCGCCUCACAUGCGGACUGCUGUUCGUUCUCAUCUGCCAUGAUGUUCUCCUUCGUUACGUUGCCGUAUCUUUUUGUUGCGCGUUCGCGCCGCAUAUUGCUGCGCGGACGCGCAUCCACGUAUAUCAGUGCAUAUCAAU
rnacentral:rRNA from 1 species